AGAGCUGCCACGGCGGCGAGUAGUAACGGACGAUCGCCGCGCAGACUCCUCGAAGGCGACGCGAGCCUCGCAGUAGUCGGCGUCAAGCGCUUCGUCCGGCGCGCUCAGUGGCGUCUCGCCGUCAGCUCGAGGACGAUCCUUCCCGCGUCCUCGCCCGGCGUUUCUCGCUCGAUCGCCCCACGUUGUUGGCCCCCGCUCGGAGGAGAUCCCAGGCGGACGACGGAGUGCUCACCGUCGCACGACUCGAGCUCUUGCCGGCAGGCGUUCUGCAUCGGGCUCUGCAAUCUCCAAGUUUUCAGGAUCAGCCACCGGCGCGGCGGCACAGAGACGUUGAUUUGUCUUAGAGAAAAGAGAAAAGGAGGCGCAAAAGCUGUUGAAUGCGCGAGGCACGUCCCGAUCCGACGCAAUGAGCCAGCUGUCGCGCAGCAGCGACGUCUUAAUCCCGUAGAAAUUUCCGCGGGACGGUCUCGCCGGAGGAAGGAGGAGGAGCAGCAGG
rnacentral:lncRNA from 1 species